rnacentral:misc_RNA from 1 species
CACACGUGAGUGUCUCCUGAUAUGACCGCCCCAAAGUUAAUGGAAUAAUCAAUAAAAGGGAAGUAACUCUAAUUGGCAGCUGUCUGACGGAACCAAGCACCUGGCUGUUUCGUGUCGAACUUCUGAGUGGUGUCUAAGAAAGGAACAUAAAAUGCCCAGUGACAAUGACCGACCAGUUGUCUUGGCCCGCCGUAUCGAAACAUUUAGUGCCUGCCAUAGAUUACACAAUCCCUGUCUUAGUGACGAAGUGAAUCAGAAGAUUUAUGGAAAAUGUAACCACAUUAAUGGUCAUGGACACAACUAUAAAGUGGAAGUGGCACUUAAAGGUCCAGUGGAUCCAGUGACAGGAAUGGUGAUCAAUAUAGUUGAUUUGAAACAAAUAAUCAAUAAAUGUGUCAUGGAUGUUUUGGACCAUAAAAACAUAGACAAAGAUGUUCCAUACUUUAAAUAUAAUCCCAGUACUGGUGAAAAUAUCGUUGUUUUUAUCUGGAACCAACUUUCUGAAGAACUGAAUCAACGUAAUCAAGCUGACCUUCUAUUUGAAAUAAAACUACACGAAACAGAGAAAAAUGUCUUCUCUUAUUAUGGAGAAAAAACGUCAUCAAAAUGAAGAUGACACAAUCAAAGGAGUUUAUUCUUAAAGAACGUUUUUGAACCUAAUUGGCUAUUCUUCAAAGAAAACCAGUUUGCAAGGUAUUUGUGUAUCGGAUAAAACAGAAUCCAAGGAGACUGGUGGUUGUUUAACACAGGCAAGACUUUUAUUACUUGGAAAAAAAGUAACAGAAAGACUUAAAUGAAAUUGCCAGUCACUCUUAAACCUGGAGAAAGACUUUGUCCUAAAUAUUGGAUGCUCCACUCCCCAACACUAAUCAUUUUACUCUUUCUCUGUCUAUAUAUAUAUAUAUAUAUACAUGCAUACAUAUACACAUGUAAGUUUGUAUAUAAAAUGUUGAAUUUCAUUGUUUAUUGUAUAAAACAUAUUUUAAAGACCCAA